GACGGAGGAUGCAAGCGUUAUCCGGAAUGAUUGGGCGUAAAGCGUCCGCAGGUGGCCGUUCAAGUCUGCUGUCAAAGACCGGGGCUUAACUUCGGAAAGGCAGUGGAAACUGAACAGCUAGAGUAUGGUAGGGGCAGAGGGAAUUCCUGGUGUAGCGGUGAAAUGCGUAGAGAUCAGGAAGAACAUCGGUGGCGAAGGCGCUCUGCUGGACCAUAACUGACACUCAGGGACGAAAGCUAGGGGAGCGAAUGGG
rnacentral:rRNA from 1 species